AACCUGCGGAGGGAUCAUUGCUGGAACGCGCUUCGGCGCACCCAGAAACCCUUUGUGAACUUAUACCUUACUGUUGCCUCGGCGCAGGCCGGCCUCACUGAGGCCCCUCGGAAACGAGGAGCAGCCCGCCGGCGGCCAACCAAACUCUUGUUUCUUAGUGAAUCUCUGAGUAAAAAACAUAAAUGAAUCAAAACUUUCAACAACGGAUCUCUUGGUUCUGGCAUCGAUGAAGAACGCAGCGAAAUGCGAUAAGUAAUGUGAAUUGCAGAAUUCAGUGAAUCAUCGAAUCUUUGAACGCACAUUGCGCCCUCUGGUAUUCCGGAGGGCAUGCCUGUUCGAGCGUCAUUUCAACCCUCAAGCAUUGCUUGGUGUUGGGGCACCGCCUGUAAAAGGGCGGGCCCUGAAAUCUAGUGGCGAGCUCGCCAGGACCCCGAGCGUAGUAAUUAUAUUUCGUUCUGGAAGGCCCUGGCGGUGCCCUGCCGUUAAACCCCCAACUUCUGAAAAUUUGACCUCGGAUCAGGUAGGAAUACCCGCUGAACUUAAGCAUAUCAAUAA
rnacentral:rRNA from 1 species